rnacentral:lncRNA from 1 species
CCCACCGUGGCGACCCUCAGCGGACAGACGGAGAGCUUUGCCUCCGUUACGUGUAGGCGUAUGUACUGUGCAGGGCCGUGCCGUUAUGAAUUUGAACCUUCGAAAUUUAAACGAGUCGGAGAAACUUGAUCGCUUAGAGGCUUAUGGUGUUACUAUUGACGCUAAUAAUGAAUCUACAUAGUUUGCAAUACCAGAGACAUCUGGUGAUCAAAGGAGGAAGCUCUUGAUAUUUUUUACUAAUAGAAGAUCUGGCAAUAGAUGAAGAAGAUGUAAGUGGAUCUUUACGCUUUCAUUUGAUGUGGACUGAUUGGCCUCUAUUGAAAAUCAGUGGCUGGCUAUGGCGUCCCAUCGAAGCCCAGUCCCAAGUUGUUCAGCAUUGCUCACUAACUGUUUUAAUACAGCAUCCUGAAAUCCAUUUGAAACAGAACAUAAGCAGACCAAGACCGCGUUUCCGCUGCAAGCAGCUAUGUAUAUCGUAUGAACCUUUGCCAAACGGCGUUCGUUUAACCCUUUUGUUUCGUCAGAACUUCGUAAAGACAGCACUGUGAUGUCCAAGUGAAACGAUGACGAUAGAAGUCUCAAGAAAACUACCGAUAAGUCACGUGAUUAACUCGCAAUUUGUUAAUCGACAAAUCAGUUCCUUUUUUAAAUAUCUAUUCGAUUAUCAAUAAUAAAAUCUCGAAUAAAUAUCCUUUUUUUUAUCGCUUCCAAUUUUCGUAUUCUUCAUACGACAAACGUUACGAGACAUGCGUGCGCAUAUUUAUUCUGGCACACACGUGGCAACAGUGCUAUACAGGAAGCACGCGCAUUUCAUCUCCGCAGCUGUUUUUACAUCGGUGCACAUAUGUUUACGUUCCCGGCUAAGGACAAGUCGAGAAUAUGUUAUGAAGCGUUAAGUCGCGAGGGAAUGCUAGGAACCAAAAGGGGAGUGCCGUUUAAGUGGAAUGUCUCCUGUAUACAGGACGCGUCGUGGAAAAAAGUGAACGUAGCGAAAUUCGUGAAACUAUGCAAAUAAAUACUUGCCGGUGAUUUGUUGCUCGAUUAGCACGUGAUGAGGCUGAUUGAACAGCUGUAUUGAAUCUUAUUUUUUUUAAAAAAAGACUUCAUACUUCACCUUACUAUUUAAAUUUAAAAAUAGAAUUUUAAAAAUUAAAAGUCAUUUCGAUUAUAUUAUUGUAAAUCAUAAAAUAAUUAUUGUAUGUGUUAAUUUAUUUAUGUAAUUUUUGUAGAUAGAAUAGGAAAGAAUAGAUUUUUACAAUUUGAAUAAUAUAAUAUAUUAAUAAUUAUAUAAUUAUAAGCAAUAUUGUUCAUGCGACAAAAAGAUGCAAACAAAUAAAAUUCAUAUAAAUGUGA